GGAUCCAGACUUUGAUCAUGGCUCAGGAUGAACGCUAGCUACAGGCUUAACACAUGCAAGCCGAGGGGAAACGACAUCGAAAGCUUGCUUUUGAUGGGCGUCGACCGGCGCACGGGUGAGUAACGCGUAUCCAACCUGCCCACCACUUGGGGAUAACCUUGCGAAAGUAAGACUAAUACCCAAUGAUAUCUCUAGAAGACAUCUGAAAGAGAUUAAAGAUUUAUCGGUGAUGGAUGGGGAUGCGUCUGAUUAGCUUGUUGGCGGGGUAACGGCCCACCAAGGCAACGAUCAGUAGGGGUUCUGAGAGGAAGGUCCCCCACAUUGGAACUGAGACACGGUCCAAACUCCUACGGGAGGCAGCAGUGAGGAAUAUUGGUCAAUGGACGAGAGUCUGAACCAGCCAAGUAGCGUGCAGGAUGACGGCCCUAUGGGUUGUAAACUGCUUUUAUAAGGGAAUAAAGUGAGUCUCGUGAGACUUUUUGCAUGUACCUUAUGAAUAAGGACCGGCUAAUUCCGUGCCAGCAGCCGCGGUAAUACGGAAGGUCCGGGCGUUAUCCGGAUUUAUUGGGUUUAAAGGGAGCGUAGGCCGGAGAUUAAGCGUGUUGUGAAAUGUAGACGCUCAACGUCUGCACUGCAGCGCGAACUGGUUUCCUUGAGUACGCACAAAGUGGGCGGAAUUCGUGGUGUAGCGGUGAAAUGCUUAGAUAUCACGAAGAACUCCGAUUGCGAAGGCAGCUCACUGGAGCGCAACUGACGCUGAAGCUCGAAAGUGCGGGUAUCGAACAGGAUUAGAUACCCUGGUAGUCCGCACGGUAAACGAUGGAUGCCCGCUGUUGGUCUGAAUAGGUCAGCGGCCAAGCGAAAGCAUUAAGCAUCCCACCUGGGGAGUACGCCGGCAACGGUGCAACUCAAAUGAAUUGACGG
rnacentral:rRNA from 1 species